GUAGCCGGGGUCGCGGACGAGGGCGGCGUCGGCGACGCCGCCGGUCACGUUCGACACGUACGGCAACGC
rnacentral:tRNA from 1 species